GCCAUCCCACCGCUGCCACCAAUGUAACGGAGCUCCUUGUACUCCGACUGAGUACCCUCCGUUGACGGAUGCUCCUAGCGCUUCCUGAGGACUCCAAGCGCUGCAGCAGACACCACAACCACCGCAGACUCCGCAACCGCCGUAUCUUGACUGGAGUCUCGCCGUCUUCCUUCCACCCUGGAUCAGCUUCUGUCCUCCAGGACUGUGUGAGAAAGAACUCUUCCUUCCACCCUGUAUGAACCUCCAGCAUCCAGGACUGUGUGGUGAAGACCCCUCCUCCAAGGAGAGCGUGUCAGGAACAAGCUCUUAAAAGAGCUAAGUGACUCAAGCUCAGGGGAGCAUGCAGAGCAUAGCAAUCCCCAGUGUGAUUAUAAC